rnacentral:rRNA from 2 species
UACAGAGGUCUCAAGCGUUGUUCGGAUUCAUUGGGCGUAAAGGGUGCGUAGGUGGCGUCGUAAGUCAGGUGUGAAAUCUCGGGGCUUAACUCCGAAACUGCAUUUGAUACUGCGGUGCUUGAGGACUGGAGAGGAGACUGGAAUUUACGGUGUAGCAGUGAAAUGCGUAGAGAUCGUAAGGAAGACCAGUGGCGAAGGCGGGUCUCUGGACAGUUCCUGACACUGAGGCACGAAGGCCAGGGGAGCAAACGGG